rnacentral:rRNA from 1 species
UACGAAGGGAGCUAGCGUUGUUCGGAAUCACUGGGCGUAAAGCGCACGUAGGCGGAUGUGUCAGUCAGGGGUGAAAUCCCGGAGCUCAACCUCGGAACUGCCUUUGAUACAGCACAUCUGGAGUCCGGAAGAGGUGGGUGGAAUUCCGAGUGUAGAGGUGAAAUUCGUAGAUAUUCGCAAGAACACCAGUGGCGAAGGCGGCUCACUGGCCCGAUACUGACGCUGAGGCACGAAAGCGUGGGGAGCAAACAGG